UACAGGGGGUGCAAACGUUGCUCGGAAUCAUUGGGCGUAAAGCGCACGUAGGCGGUUCGUUAUGUCGGAUGUGAAAGCCCUUGGCUUAACCGAGGAAGUGCAUCCGAAACUGGCGAGCUAGAGUACUAAAGAGGAUCGCGGAAUUCCCGGUGUAGCGGUGAAAUGCGUAGAUAUCGUAAGGAAGACCAGUGGCGAAGGCGGGUCUCUGGACAGUUCCUGACGCUGAGGAGCGAAAGCGUGGGGAGCGAACAGG
rnacentral:rRNA from 1 species